ensembl:lncRNA
CUUAUGUUUCCUCUGGGAGUGGUUUGUACUGGUUUAAACUGGUUUAUACUGGUCUAUACUGGUUUAUACUGGUUUAUACUGGUUUAAACUGGUUUGUACUGGUGCAGGUUCCUGGCCCCGGUGCUGGGGGCCCUGCGGGGGGGCCUGGGAGACCCCGACGGCGCCGUCAGGGGGGCGGCGGCGGCGGCGCUGAGGGAGCUGAGGGAGGAGCUGCAGCCCGAGGUGGCUCCGCUGGCGGCCGAGGCCCUCCCGAGGAUUUUGGGGGAAUUUUGGGGCUCCCGGAAUUCCGGGAAUUCCCCAAAUCCCGACCCCAGGUCCUGGUUCGUGCUGGAGACGCUGCUGGAGGCGCUGGGGGAGGGGGUUCAGCCCUGGCUGCCCCAGGUGAUUCCCAGGAUUUUGGGAGCUUUGGAGGCGUCGGAGCCGGAGCGGAGCCGGGAGCUGGCGCUGAGCGCGCUGCACGCGCUGGGUGAGGGCCGGGAACACCCCGAAACAGCCAAAACUGCCCCAAAACUGCCCAAAAACACCCCGAAAAUACCCCAGAACUGCCCAAAAACACCCAGAAACAGCCCAAAACACCCCGAAAAUACCCAGAAACACCCCAAAAACAGCCAAAAACACCCAAAAAUACCCCAAAAACAGCCCAAAAACAGCCAAAAACUGCCCCAAAACUGCCCAAAAACAGCCAGAAACACCCAAAAACACCCAAAAACUGCCCAAAACACCCGAAAAUACCCCAAAACACCCAGAAACACCCCAAAAACAGCCAGAAACAACCCAAAAACAGCCCAAAACACCCCAAAAUACCCAAAAAUACCCAAAAAAACCCCAAAAAUACCCCAAAACACCCAGAAACACCCGAAAACACCCAGAAACAGCCCAAAACUGCCUAAAAACAGCCCAAAAACAGGCAAAAACACCCGAAAAUACCCCAAAAACACCCAAAAACAGCCCAAAAACAGCCAAAAACACCCGAAAAUACCCCAAAAACACCCAAAAACACCCAGAAACAGCCCAAAACACCCGAAAAUACCCCAAAAACACCCAAAAACAGCCCAAAACCAACCAAAAACACACAAAAAAUACCCCAAACCCAACCAAAACCCACUGAAAAUGCCCCAAAACACCCCAAAAACACCCCAAAAUACCCAAAAAUACCCAAAAAAACCCCAAAAAUACCCCAAAACACCCAGAAACACCCGAAAACAUCCAGAAAGAGCCCAAAACUGCCUAAAAACAGCCCAAAAACUGCCCAAAAACAGGCAAAAACACCCGAAAAUACCCCAAAAACACCUCAAAACCAACCAAAACAGCCCAAAACUGCCCAAAAAUACCCCAGAAACGCCCAAAAACACCCAAAACACCGGAAAACACACAAAAACACCCCAAAAACACCCAGAAACGCCCAAAACCACUCCAGAACAGCCCAAAAGAACCAAAACCAGCCCCAAAACAACCCCAAAAAUACCCAAAACCAGCCCAAAACUGCCCAAAACACCCAAAAACAACCAGAAACACCCAAAACAGUCCAAAAACAGCCAAAAACACCCCAAAAAUAGCCAAAAACACCCAAAAACCCAAAAAUACCCCAAAAAUACCCGGAAACACCCAAAACAGCCCAAAAACACCUGAAAACAACCAAAAACACCCAGAAACAGCCCAAAACUGCCCAAAAUCAGCCCAAAAACACCCCAAAAACACCCCAGAAACAGCCCAAAAAUACCCAGAAACACCCAAAACCACACAAAAACAGCCCAAAACAACCAAAAACACCCAAAAACACCCGAAAACACCCAAAACCAACCAAAAACACCCCAAAAACAACCAAAAUUUCUGGGAAUUUUCCCGGAAUUUUUCCCAUAUUUUCCCCGGAACUUUCCAGAAUUUUUCCCGGGAUUUUUCUGGGAUUUUUCUGGAAUUUUCCCAUAAAUUUUCCCGGAAUUUUUCCCAUACUUUCGCCGGAACUUUCCAGAAUUUUCCCGGAUUUUCCCGGGAUUUUUCUGGAAUUUUCCCAGAUUUUUUCCAGGAUUUUUCAAGAAUUUUCUAGGAAUUUUCCCGAAUUUUUCCCGGGAUUUUUCCGGAUUUUCCCCAGAUUUUCCCAAGAUUCUUCCAGAAUUUUCCUGGAAUUUUCCCCAGAAUUUUCCCCAGAAAUUCCUGGGAAUUUUUCCUGAAUUUUCCUGGAUUUUCCCGGGAUUUUUCCCGGGAUUUUCCCAGGAUUUUCCAGAUUUCUCCCAGGAAUUUUCCACAAUUUUCUGGGAUUUUUCCCGGGAUUUUUCCAGAAUUUUCCGGGAAUUUUCCCGGAUUUUUCCCGGGAUUUUCCCGGAAUUUUCCCCGGAUUUUCCCCGGAUUUUUCCAGAUUUUCCCCAGAUUUUCCCGGGAUUUUCCCAGAAUUUUCUGGAUUUUUUUCAGAUUUUUUCCAGGAUUUUUCCAGAAUUUUCCAGGAAUUUUCUCCAGAAAUUUCCGGGAUUUUUCCAGAAUUUUCCCAGAAAUUUUCUGGAAUUUUCCUGGGAUUUUCCUGGAAUUUUCCCGGAUUUUUCCCGGAUUUUUCCCAGGAUUUUUCCGGAAUUUCCCGGAAUUUUCCCGGCAUUUUUCCCGGGAUUUUUCCGGAAUUUUCCUGGAAUUUUCCUGGAAU